rnacentral:lncRNA from 1 species
ACCUUCUUUGGGAGGAGGCAAUGAAUCCGUCGACCUUGGGCGCAGCGAUGGUGGCGCCGAGCAGCAGGCCACCCACCACGAAGCCAGCGAUCUCGCUGCCCGUCAGCCCAUCCAUCUCUCCCUCUCCCUCUCUGCUAUCGCCCUCAAUUGCUGCACCGUCCAAAGUAAGCGACAAGUUAUCUCACUGGAGAUGAAGCUUGCAGCUUUGGGUGGUAGGAGCCGUCGGGCCUCGCUCGUCAAUCCUUGGUGGAAUGGUGGCGAGCUGCGACGGGCGUCGUCGGCCGUGGAGCUUCUUGGAGGAAGAGGCUGCGGACAGCCGUGAUGCCCCACGCUGCGCGUCGUCGAAGGCAGAGAGGUCCAGCAGUGCGGCCUGGCACGCGGCGGUGGUGGUGGAGCGCCGACUGGGGGGAACUGCCGACUGCGGAGGGUGGUGGCC